rnacentral:rRNA from 1 species
UGAGGUUGGUACUUGUACCAACUGGAUGAGCAGCGAACGGGUGAGUAACGCGUGGGGAAUCUGCCUUUGAGCGGGGGACAACAUUUGGAAACGAAUGCUAAUACCGCAUAAAAACUUUAAACACAAGUUUUAAGUUUGAAAGAUGCAAUUGCAUCACUCAAAGAUGAUCCCGCGUUGUAUUAGCUAGUUGGUGAGGUAAAGGCUCACCAAGGCGAUGAUACAUAGCCGACCUGAGAGGGUGAUCGGCCACAUUGGGACUGAGACACGGCCCAAACUCCUACGGGAGGCAGCAGUAGGGAAUCUUCGGCAAUGGACGAAAGUCUGACCGAGCAACGCCGCGUGAGUGAAGAAGGUUUUCGGAUCGUAAAACUCUGUUGGUAGAGAAGAACGUUGGUGAGAGUGGAAAGCUCAUCAAGUGACGGUAACUACCCAGAAAGGGACGGCUAACUACGUGCCAGCAGCCGCGGUAAUACGUAGGUCCCGAGCGUUGUCCGGAUUUAUUGGGCGUAAAGCGAGCGCAGGUGGUUUAUUAAGUCUGGUGUAAAAGGCAGUGGCU